rnacentral:rRNA from 1 species
CCUACGGGUGGCAGCAGUGAGGAAUAUUGGUCAAUGGGCGAGAGCCUGAACCAGCCAAGUCGCGUGAAGGAUGACGGCCCUACGGGUUGUAAACUUCUUUUGUCAGGGAGUAAUUGGGUCCACGCGUGGGCUUAGCGAGAGUACCUGAAGAAAAAGCAUCGGUUAACUCCGUGCCAGCAGCCGCGGUAAUACGGAGGAUGGGACCGUUAUCCGGUUUUAUUGGGUUUAAAGGGUGCGUAGGCGGAAUAUCAAGUCAGCGGUAAAAAUUCGGGGCGAACCCUCGUCGUGCCGUUGAAACUGAUGUUCUUGAGUGGGCGAGAGGUAUGCGGAAUGCGUGGAGUAGCGGUGAAAUGCAUAGAUAUCACGCAGAACUCCGAUUGCGAAGGCAGCAUAC